AAGGAUUCCCCUAGUAACGGCGAGUGAAGAGGGAAGAGCCCAAGAUUGAAAGCUGGCGUCUUCGGCGUCCGCAUUGUAAUCUCAAGAAGCAUUUUCCGCUUCGGACCAAGCCUAAGUCCCUUGGAAAAGGGCAUCGUAGAGGGUGAGAAUCCCGUACAUGGCUUGGAGCGCCCGAGGCUUUGUGAUAUGCAUUCUAAGAGUCGAGUUGUUUGGGAAUGCAGCUCAAAAUGGGUGGUAAAUGCCAUCUAAGGCUAAAUAUUGGGGAGAGACCGAUAGCGAACAAGUACCGUGAGGGAAAGAUGAAAAGAACUUUGAAAAGAGAGUUAAACAGUACGUGAAAUUGCCAAAAGGGAAGGGUAGGAGGUCAGAGAUGCGGCGUGGGAUUCAGCCUUGCUUUUGCUUGGUGUUUUUCCCUCAUUGCAGGCCAACGUCGGUUUUGGGCACUGGAGAAGGGUGAGAGGAAUGUGGCACUCUUCGGGGUGUGUUAUAGCCUCUCACUGGAUACAGCGACCGGGACCGAGGAACGCAGCGUACUCGAAAGAGCGGGCCUUCGGGCACCUUUACGCUUAGGGCGUUGGCAUAAUGGCCCUCUACCAC
rnacentral:rRNA from 2 species